rnacentral:lncRNA from 1 species
ACCGAAAUCAAGAGUUGGAAGCUUAACCGACUGACCCACCCAGGUGCCCCGGGAAGGGCAUUUUAAAGCCUUCAGUAGAGCAAGAAAGUGGGACCGGAUGAACUCUGAGGACCACGCGAGACCCAUGAUGACCACAAAGGUCUGUAGCGAGGUGGCCCCGAGAGCGAGGUCUCCCUGCUCCCCUUGUUGUACCGCAGGCGAAAGCGGAAAUUGGAAGGCAAGCCCUGUAAUGGCGAGGACUUGAAAAUUGCUUCUAAUUUCCAAGUGUGUGGCAGAGAGAGGGACAGGUGCGUGAUGAUUACUGUGUGAUUCUGCCGCUUUGUAGGAAAAUUAAUCCCGAGGUACUUCUUUUAAAAGUACUUUCUCAAGGUUGUGAACUUGAUUUUUCUCCACCAACACCUUGUAUUUAUUUUGAAUACUUCUUGGGACUUUUUACAU